rnacentral:piRNA from 1 species
UGACAUCAAAAAUUAGUUGUU